CCGUUUUUUGUAUAAUGAAAUAACCGGCGACUGUGCAGAGGUCGUUUAUGGCAACCUUUCGGGGCUUGUGCAAUGGAAGUUCGUGAACCCUGUCAGGUCCGAGAGGAAGCAGCAGUAAGCGAAUCCUUUCAUGUGCCACGAGGUAACUCGGGAGGUUGUCAUAAACGGUUUCUGCCGGUAACCGG
rfam:Negativicoccus succinicivorans DORA_17_25 Q612_NSC00356, whole genome shotgun sequence.